rnacentral:miRNA from 1 species
AAGUUGUGUGUUUUUUCUUU